rnacentral:lncRNA from 1 species
AGCUGUAUAAUCCUAAUUGAAAGGCAGUGUAAGAAUCAUGAGCAAUCCUUAUUUGCAGAGAAAUAGGGCCAUUACCGUAUUAGAAGCAUUUUAGGUUGUUGUUAUAGUUUCACAUACAGAAGUUUAGGUGCUGAAAAAUUAUUCUUUUUUAGAAAUUUCUUUUUUCAAUUGUUUGCUGUUCAGAGUUUCUCAGAGGUCCCCAGAUGCAUGUAUAUCAGUUAGAAGUAGGACAGGUAUGGUGGCUAACACCUGUAAUCCCAAAGUGCUGGGGUUAUGGGCGUGAGCCACCACACCCGGCCCUACAUAUAUAAUUAAAAAAAUUAUCUUGC